ensembl:snRNA U4 U4 spliceosomal RNA
AGCUUUACGCAGUGGCAAUAUUGUAGUCAAUGAGGUUUAACUGAGGCGCGAUUAUAGCUAAUUAAAAAGACAAACUGUAACCUAGAAAUUAUCUUAACUUAGAAGAGAAAAUAGAAAUUUUAGCAUAUGAUUUUUCCCUAAUUUUUUCCCCUCUUUCAAAGA